GAUCAGGGUAUAAAGCUCUCAGCUAUCCCUCCAGUGCCAUGCCUGCCUGCUUCCACCAUGAUGACCGUGGAUUCACCCUCUGAAACUAACAUUUAAUCAAGGCCACCCACAGCCUAGAGUUGAAGAAGUCCCCAGCUGAGCGAUUUACUCACCCACAAAGCAAACAGGGAAGACACCAGCCUGGGGGUGGGGAGCUAGAUGUUGCUUCACUGGCAGCCCCUCCCCUGAGAACUGGGGAUCCAGGAGGAGGCCGAAAACAGGGAGCUCCCCCUGGAAACUCUACGCCUCAGCCCUGACAACUCUCCUCCUCCAGCUAAGCACAGAACUGAUUGGUUAGGUCAUAAAAUAAAUAAUGCUUAUUAAGCCCAAUUACCGUGGAACACAAAGCAAUUAUGAAAACCACGGAGAGAAAGAUCUACUUGCUUCUUAACUUCAGGAAUGGCAGGACACCAUGCAGAUACUCAGACUUGCAGAAUUCAUUGUUUCCUUAUCCAGCCUGCCAUGACCAUCUCCAUUCAAGGAGGGGAAGAAGGAGAAACAGAAGGGAGGAAGGGAGGGAGAUGGAGGGGGAAGGAGAAGAGGGAGACUACUGUCCAUGAGAAUGUGCCUAUCUGUAGACCUACUCAGAGGAGACUAGAGCCCCAAGGCUGCUGUCCCUCGAUCAGGCCAAAAUGUUCGAGUUAACCCCCCACCGCACCCCCCUUUCUCUGCUAGUGCUAGAGGUAAGAUGUGGAGUCCAGAGUAAGGCUGAAAUUUCACAGGCCACUUACAUUUUGGACUCUCCCCACCCCCCUUCUUUUUAAAAAGCUGGUAACCAGCAUGAAAGACAUUGUGGUUGGUAUCCUCAUAACUAAAAUAUAGCUUCAUUUCUGCUCAUGGAAAUAUGUAGUCAAUUAGCUAUAAUGUGGUCCAGACUCCCUUUGAUAUUCUAAAAUAAAAACAUUCCAAGUUAUUUACUGGAGAAGAGUCCUUUCUAAGCACUCCCAGUAGCUGCUGUUUUCAAUAAUUGCUGCUUUUAGUGGGUGUGGGGCAUUCUGGGUGGACUGGUGUGUGUAACUCAAAGGUCUCCACUGUUAUCUCUGGAUUUAAAAUAAUAACCACAAGAGUUUGCUCUGAGAUACUAGUACUGAAGUUCAUUCACGGAUAUGAAACGGUUUUUGUAUGCCUUUCUCUUUUCGGGCCAGAGGAGAGGGGAACAGAGCAAGGGUGGAAGCAACAGGCAAGGAGACCCUUCUACCUACCCCUAGAGAUCGUGCUCCAAGGACAAUCCAGGGAGUCGCCCUUAAUGUGGCCUUGACUAAAAAAGCGGCUCCCAAAUCCUUGUUCUUGGACAUAGUGGGGCCGAUGCCUGUGGAUUUCCCGGGGAACAAUAAUUGCAAAAGCUAAGCAAAACAGAACAGCUGGCUUACCGCUGAUUGGAGGGGGUGCUGCAGGAUCUUGAGUCUUAGCCUACCGGACUCGACUCGACUAUGUCUUGAUCUGUUUUAUGUUGCUGUAAUAGGCUACCUAAGACUAAGCCAUUUAUUAAAACCACAGAUUCUUUCUUACAGGUCUAGGGGGUGGGAAGUUCAAGGUGGAGGGACCUGCAUCUUCCAUGGCCCUUCCUGCUGUAUC
rnacentral:lncRNA from 1 species